AUUACUCUACAGAAUCUGGAUGAUUUAGACAAGAAUACACCACCUUGGCAACAAGUUCCUGACAAGAUAUCAAAACUGCCUCUAGAGCUUCCAGUACCACAGCAGCUACCAAUAAUUAGAACUACGAAAAAACCUUCCGGUAGGCCGCUU